rnacentral:rRNA from 1 species
UGGCUCAGGACGAACGCUGGCGGCGUGCUUCAUACAUGCAAGUCGAACGAGAAAUUUACUUCGGUAAAUGGAAAGUGGCGGACGGGUGAGUAAUGUGUAGAGAAUCUGCCCUAGAGUGGGGGACAACAGUUGGAAACGACUGCUAAUACCGCAUAUGAGCAUACCUGAAAUGGUAUUCUUGAAAACUCCGGUGCUCUGGGAUGAGUCUGCAUCUGAUUAGCUAGUUGGGGGUGUAAUGGACCACCAAGGCGACGAUCAGUAGCUGGUUUGAGAGGAUGAUCAGCCACAAUGGGACUGAGACACGGCCCAUACUCCUACGGGAGGCAGCAGUAGGGAAUUUUGCGCAAUGGGGGAAACCCUGACGCCAGCAACGCCGCGUGAUUGGAUAAGCCCUUCGGGGUGUAAAGAUCUGUCAGUGGGGACGAAACUUGACGGUACCCACAGAGGAAGCAUCGGCUAACUCCGUGCCAGCCGCGGC